GAUGAACGCUGGCGGCGUGCCUAAUACAUGCAAGUCGAGCGAACAGACGAGUCGCUUGAUCCCCUGACGUUAGCGGCGGACGGGUGAGUAACACGUGGAUAACCUACCUAUAAGACUGGGACAACUUCGGGAAACCGGAGCUAAUACCGGAUAAUAUAUUGAACCGCAUGGUUCAAUAGUGAAAGACGGUUUUGCUGUCACUUAUAGACGGAUCCGCGCCGCAUUAGCUAGUUGGUAAGGUAACGGCUUACCAAGGCAACGAUGCGUAGCCGACCUGACAGGCUGAUCGGCCACCCUGGAGCUGAGACGCGCUCCAGACUCCUACGGGAGGCAUUUGUGGGCAAGCUUCCGCGAUGAGCGAAAGCCUGACGGAGCAACGCCACGUGAAUGAUGGGAAUCUUCGCAUCGUCAAACUCUCUUAUUAGGAAUAAACGAUUGUGUACGUCACUGUGCACGCCUUGGCGGUACCUAAUCAGAAUGCCACCGCUAACUACGUG
rnacentral:rRNA from 1 species